rnacentral:rRNA from 1 species
GGGGAAGUAUUGCACAAUGGGCGCAAGCCUGAUGCAGCCAUGCCGCGUGUAUGAAGAAGGCCUUCGGGUUGUAAAGUACUUUCAGCGGGGAGGAAGGCGAUAAGGUUAAUAACCUUGUCGAUUGACGUUACCCGCAGAAGAAGCACCGGCUAACUCCGUGCCAGCAGCCGCGGUAAUACGGAGGGUGCAAGCGUUAAUCGGAAUUACUGGGCGUAAAGCGCACGCAGGCGGUCUGUCAAGUCGGAUGUGAAAUCCCCGGGCUCAACCUGGGAACUGCAUUCGAAACUGGCAGGCUGGAGUCUUGUAGAGGGGGGUAGAAUUCCAGGUGU